UAGAAUGCCAGAGUAUUAACAAUAGUUGUUUUCUGGCCUCCUAGACAACUUUCCCCAUUUUCAAACCUGGCUAAGCAGAAGAGAAGACUUGGGGUGGGUGGCUAAUCCCAGAAAAGACCAGAAAAACAUACUGUUUAAAGGAAGGGGAUAGCUGUCACUCAAAAUUACAGGGUAACAAGCUCAAGGGGGUAGUCUUUCUGAAAUAAACACUAAGCUGAAAAAGAAAAACUGACCAGAAUAAACUAAGGUUUUGUACUCCAAUUGGACACAUAAUAAUCAGCAAAGUGCUUGGUAAAGGGUGAGGCUGAUGUUCUUUGGCAAGAGGACACAUGGUGAAAACCAGUAAUAACCCUUCAUUCUUGCUCUGUGCCCACAUACCUGGAGUGUCUCAUAGCUGAAGCCAGGUACAGCAGUGGGGACCUUGUUUUCAUAAAUUUGUAUAUGCAUGUUUUAGUCAGCCUGGUGAAUCCCUAGGGGACAGGUACAGAUGUUUUCCUUGUUUUAAGCUCUUUUUGGUGCAGCAGCUUCCUUAGUAGCAUCUAUAUCCCUGCCUCCCUACCUACCUACCUUCUUUUUGGAGCCUGACAUUUAAGAAAAUUUGUGUAGAAAUAAUUGAAUGGAAACUUUAGUUGCCAGGCAUAAGCAGUAGACAAAAGCAAAUGGAAAAGCAAAGGCAAAAGCAAUUUGAAGUCAUAAAAUGUAUGACUUUAGUUUGCAAGAAGCAAAAAAUAAACAAUCUUAGAGAAGUGAAAGAACUGAUUUCGGAUCUGCCUCAGUAUAAAGACUUAGAAUGACUAGGUGUCAGUAAGGCACCGUCAAUGAAACUACAAAACAUACAAACAGGAAAAACAAAGUAAAAAAGAACUUGAUAGAAACCAUCCCAGAGAAAGCUUAUGCAUUAGAAUUAUUAGUUAAAUAUUUAAAUUUAUCUUUAAUGAAGCUAAAUGAAAUCAUGGACAAAGAACUAAAAUUAGGAAAACAAGGUGCAAACAAAAUGAGCAUCUCAAUAAUUAUAAAAAGGAAUUGAGCCGGGUGCAGUAGCAUACAUCUGUAAUCCAGUGGCUGCUCAGGAGGUUGAGGCCAGCCUCAGUAAAAGGCACUAAGCAACUCAGUGAAAUCCUGUCUCUAAAUAAAAUACAAAAUAGGGCUGGGGAUGUGGCUCAGUGGUUGAGUGCCUGGAGUUCAAUCCCUGGUACAAAAAAAGAAAAGAUUAUAAGCAUUAAAAUUUGACAGUAAAAGACAAUCUGAAUAAAUACUGGUCUUUGGUAAGUGUCAAGCAAAAAUAAAUAAAUAAAUAGAUAUAUAGAU
rnacentral:lncRNA from 1 species